AGUAGAUUAGAUUUUAAUAUUGGUACUGUACGGAUGGGGCCUUAGAAGCCAAGGCAGUAGAUUAGAUUUUAAUUUGGUACUGUACGGAUGGGGCUUAGAAGCCAAGGCAGUAGAUCAGAUUUUAAUAUUGGUACUGUACGGAUGGGGCCUUAGAAGCCAAGGCAGUAGAUCAGAUUUUAAUAUGGUACUGUACGGAUGGGGCCUUAGAAGCCAAGGCAGUAAAUUAGUUUUAAUAUUGGUACUGUACGGAUGGGGCCUUAGAAGCCAAGGCAGUAGAUUAGAUUGGACAAAUACUUCUAAACAACAUGAGGAUAUAAAGUCUUAUAAAACAUAGGCCUCCGGUAGGCCAGGCUUUCGUCCCAAAUGGCAACCUAUUCCCUAUUUAUACCACAGCAUUGUUGAAUACUCGUAUCUGAUUGGCUAGAAGGGGAUUCUAGAAUGGGCAUUAAAACCAAAUAUAGAAGACAGUUGGAUGUCUCUGGGACAGAUAUAUAUGGGAUACCUGAUCAGGACGCAUUAUAAAGCACUACACAAGCAGACUGUAGUUACAGAAUGAUAAACCAACAAACCGAUAUUGGAUGCAUUGUAAAUGCAGGUCCAACAAGGAAAAACAUAGCUAACUAGCUAGCUAGCAUUCAUUUAUUUUUUUCGCAGAGACCUCUGAUGAACCUAACGUGGUGAGUGAUGGGAUGAACAUACAUUUUUCCCGGGCCUUCAAUGUUGCAAUCAUGAAGCAAGUGGAGCUAUGCUGUCAAACCCACCCACUUUUCUAUUUUUUAACAGCUGUUUUCAGCAACUGAUAUUGUUAAAUUCGAUUGGUCAUAUUGGCAUGUUUGCUAGCAACAAACUGUUUAGCUACGUUCAAGCCUAGUGUUUGACGUGUUCGAUAAGGGCAGCAGCUAGCCUAGAAGUUAAGAGGAUUGGGACAGUAACCGAAGGGUCGCUGGUUCGAAUCCCCGAGCGGACUAGGUGAACAACAUGCCUUUGAGCAAGAGUGUCUGCCAAAUGACUCAAAAUGUAAAUAUGCAAUGCGCUCUCCUCAUAAUUAACAGUGUCCUGACGUGAACACAAACUAUUCAAUGCCAAAAUCGCUCAUCAUCAUCAUCAGCUCAUUGUUAUGGAUGUAUCCACAUGAAUUGUCACUAGAAAACAGCUCACGCAAACGCAGCUACUUUGCCGUUAUUCUGGCUGCAGAGGUUGACGUGAUUGUGUUAAAAAAAUAGUUCACUAGCUAGCAAGCAAGUCAGCAUGGCAACCGAAUAAAAACGUCCAUAGAACAGAAAGAAUGAGCAACGGAGUCGCAUCUCUGGCAACGGACUAACAAAUCAGGUUUCCUGGGAGGAUGGAAAAAGUAUUCAUUUAACUUUUAAUCAAUUCAAAAAAUAUCUAUGAAAACAUUUCCACCAGAAAAUGUGUGCUUUAGUAUUGUUUUCUUUGGCAACUGUGGUAUAAGCGGGAUAAACGCCUCCGUUCUGUACAUUACCUAGGAGAUAAUGAACUCAGCUCGUCCCGCUGUCUUGUCCAUUAUGUCCAAGGCAAUGUACAUAGUGCACACCUUAUAGGCUCUGGUCAAAUGUAAUGCCCUAUGUAAGGGAACAGGGUGACAAUUGGGACACAAUACAACACAACACAGGACAGGCAGGAGAGACACAUAGCCAGGCCCAGCACAGUACACACAGGCCAUGCAAGGCCAGAACCACAGCCCCAUUGCAGUGUGGCUGACUGAGCUGCUCCCUCACACAUCAUGCUGUCAUAAUGCUGCUGCACUUCUGUGUCUGGCCACCAGAGGGGGUGCUAGAGCACCAAUCAGAGUAGGGAGAAGG
ensembl:lncRNA